rnacentral:rRNA from 1 species
GACGAACGCUGGCGGCGUGCUUUACACAUGCAAGUCGAACGGUGAAGGUGGAGCUUGCUCCGCCGGAUCAGUGGCGAACGGGUGAGUAACACGUGGGCAACCUGCCCCUAACUUUGGGAUAACUACUCGAAAGAGUAGCUAAUACCGGAUAUGAAGUCUGUAGGCAUCUAUGGAUUUGGAAAGUUUUUCGGUUAGGGAUGGGCCCGCGGCCUAUCAGCUUGUUGGUGAGGUAGUGGCUAACCAAGGCGACGACGGGUAGCCGGCCUGAGAGGGCGACCGGCCACACUGGGACUGAGACACGGCCCAGACUCCUACGGGAGGCAGCAGUGGGGAAUAUUGCGCAAUGGGCGAAAGCCUGACGCAGCAACGCCGCGUGCGGGAUGAAGGCCUUCGGGUUGUAAACCGCUUUCAGCAGGGAAGAAGCGAAAGUGACGGUACCUGCAGAAAAAGCACCGGCUAACUACGUGCCAGCAGCCGCCGCGG